rnacentral:rRNA from 1 species
CUGGCAGUGAUUCACUGUCCGAGUUGUAAAUUGAAGAGAAUGUCAUCCACGCUGGACCACGUCUAAAUUGUAAUGAUCCACAGUCCUUUGAUGGAGUAUCAGAGAGGGUAAUAAUCCCGUCUUUAACGUGGACUGCCAGUGUUUCUGUGAUGCACUCUCUCAGAGUCGAGUAGUUUGGGAAUGCUGCUCUAAUGGGAGGUAAACUCCUUCUAAAGCUAAAUAUUGGCGAGAGACCGAUAGCGAACAAGUACCGUGAGGGAAAGAUGAAAAGAACUCUGAAAAGAGAGUCAAAUAGAACGUGAAAUUGCUGAAAGGGAAGCGUUUGGAGUCAGACGCGUCUUCAUGCAAUACAGCUCAGUGGCAGAGACUUUGAGACAAGUUACUUGAAGACGGGCCAGCACUCACGAAGACCAUUGAAGAAGGGGUCAUGGAAUGUAGCUCAGUGCUGAGUGAUUAUAGCCUUGAUUCAAAAGCAAUGUGUCCUUUGUGAGAGAUGGACAGCACGGACAACAGUUCA